UACGAAGGGGGCUAGCGUUGCUCGGAAUCACUGGGCGUAAAGCGCACGUAGGCGGCUUUCUAAGUCAGGGGUGAAAUCCUGGAGCUCAACUCUAGAACUGCCUUUGAUACUGGGAAGCUCGAGUCCGGAAGAGGUGAGUGGAACUCCGAGUGUAGAGGUGAAAUGCGCAGAUAUCGGGAGGAACACCGGUGGCGAAGGCGGUUCUCUGGGCCUGACCUGACGCUGAGGAGCGAAAGCGUGGGGAGCGAACAGG
rnacentral:rRNA from 1 species